UAGAUAUAUAAAAUAAUUCGAUCAUUCCUUUGUGGAUUGUUUCAACUGCAUAUAGUGUAUUUCCCAAAAUGAAACAUAUUAUGAGUUGCUUCUCAAAAGUGGCAGGUUUCCCUAACUUUUGAUCAGUCUAAUGCUAUGAAAGAAUGCAACUCCUUGUUUUGCAUAUUUUGUAUCAUACAUGAUACAUGUUAAUCAAGUCAAUGAUUAGUCAAACUGUUGGCAAUGAGACAUAUACUAUUAUUUGUCCUUAAAAAAUAAAAGAAAUAAAGAUCGGAUACAAUCUUUAUAAAAUAAAUGGCCUCCUCCUUUCUCCUUUAUGCUAAUGUGGAUAAAUCUCUGGUCCUGUUAUUGUUCAUAGUUGUAUAUAAUUCUGUUUUUAUUUAUCUUUUUAUGCUUUUUCUAAUGAUUGAAAUGCUGAUAUAGUGGUUAUCAUAGUUAAAAAUUGAGUGAUGUUCACCAUUAGACCUAUCCCUAGUUGCAUAUCUAUUCAUAUGGUUUAUUAUUUCUAGAACUAGGCUCACAUCUUUUUUCUGGUGUUGAAGGAAAUCAAUGCGAUAUUAGGGGAAAAAAUUUCAGCAGAAGAUGAAGAAAAAGUCUUAGCAGAAUUUGAGAACUUGGAAACUGAGCUUACUCUUCAAGAUCUACCAAAAGUUCCUGCUCCUUCAGUGGCAUCUGCAGAAGAAGCCGCCACAGUUGAGAGCAAUGAGAUUGAUGAGGACCUGGUGCUCCCAGACGUGCCAACCAAAGCCCCUGUUGCUCCUGAGGCGGUUGCAGAUGUUGGUGACAAUUCUCCCACAAGAGUAUCGACAAGAAGAAAAGUUAUGGAGGAACAAUUACCUGCUUGAUUGAUGGAAGAAUUCAGUCCUCAUACAAUGUCUGUGGUUUGUAGUAGUGCAUGGAUUUUUUUUUCCUUGCGUUGUCAUCAAACAUUACUUACUUGGGACUUGAUUCCUACAAUAUGUACAUUUUAAACGAUACAUCAUCAGUGUAUAAAGCCUCCAUUUAUACAUGCCUUGUGCCUUAAAUUCA